rnacentral:lncRNA from 10 species
ACAGACGGACCCUUAUCUGCCUAGUUACUUCCACGAUUCCCUGAGCCGGCCCGGGCCCCCGGGUCUUGUCAUAUUCAAACAAUUUACUAUGCUUUGUGCGACUUGGUGGGCAAGUGUUCAGCUGUCGCUGCUUCUUUGUGUCUUCAUUUUCCCAAGGGGUUUCCCAUGUGCACGUACAAUCCCAGCUUUUCUCCUGUUAAUCUGCCUUAAUGUCCAUUUGAUUCCCAGGCCCCCUGGAGCCCCUGGGCGGGUGGAGGUGCUGUGCUGCCUCCCGUGCUGUGCGCGCUUCUCAGCCCUCUCUGCCAGCAUUUCUGUCCUGGAGCUGCAGCUGCUUUGCCUGCGUUGAGCAGGGCGCCUGCGGAGCGCAGGUGACAUCAGCCACAGCCGUGCCUGCACCCGCCACCGCUCCAAUCCCCACGCAGCCCGGUCACCCGGUGCCUCCACUGCCUUGGCUGGCGCUGGGCCGGGGCCUCCAGGUUUCUGUGUCCAAAGGGCAGGAGAGAGGCGCAAGCGGGAGCUGCUCUUGCUAUGCCAGGGCGGUGCUAGAGAUAGACUUUGCCCUGGGCUGGGCUGUUUUCCCCCCACGCGGAUCCUCACCUCCGCUUCUCCACUGGCUUUCCGCCUUUACAUACGUCUAUUUUAAAUUUGUGUUAGGCACCCCCACACUGUGACUCCCCUCAACACUGCCGCUCCCCCACGCACACAGCGGCUCCCCCAACACACGGCUGCUCCCCCCACAGCCUGCGGCUCCCCACACACGGCGGCUCAUCCACAUAUGCUGGCUCCCCACUACGCAAGGCGUCUCCAACCCUCCAGACGGCGGCUACUCCACACACGGCGGCUCCCCCCACACACACACGGCGGUUCCCCCCACACACGGCGGUUCCCCCCACACACGGCGGCUCCCCCCCCCACACACGGGCUCCCCACACACGGCGGCUCAUCCACAUAUGCUGGCUCCCCACUACGCAAGGCGUCUCCAACCCUCCAGACGGCGGCUACUCCACACACGGCGGCUCCCCCCACACACACACGGCGGUUCCCCCCACACACGGCGGUUCCCCCCACACACGGCGGCUCCCCCCCCCACACACGGCGGUUCCCCCCACACACGGCGGCUCCCCCCCACACACGGCAGCUCCCCCCCCCCACACACGGCGG